CAGUUGUGAUUGUAGUUUGAGCCACCCGCACGCAGCACUUUUUUUUUGAAUAUUGAACAGGUCUCGGAUGAAAGCCACGAGUUCUAUGGGCAGCUCACUGUUGCUGUUGAAUGUCGCGGAUGUAUUUCUGGCUUCAUCUGGGAACGUGGAAGUCGCCAUCACUACUGGACGCUGCGCUGUGUUGAAGAAAUCUCCUGUAAUUUGGACAUCUAUAUUGUGCCUUAACUGUUCAUAAGUGACUACUGAGCGUGCUCCCGCCACUGCCUGCGAGUCGACUGCCAUCGUCCCGGUGGGAGGCAGUCAUGCCGCAGUGAUCGUCUAGCCUACACCUGGCCCUCCAUGUCAGUCCAAUGGCGCUCUUCGGGAACGGUGCAGAGGACGCUGACUUUCUCCCUCCUGACGACCCCGCGGCGGUCACCCUCGAGCCCCAGCCGGAGAAUGUGCCCAAGCCAAACUCGAAGUCAAAGCCGCCAUCGAAAAGACGGCCGUUUAAGAAGCGUGCGCAACUGUUCACCUGUCCGGUGUGCAACGCGAUCGUCAAGUACAAAUCCAAUUUCAAACGACAUAUGGAGCGUGUGCACGGACCUAAAGUCAAACGGGCCGCAUGUACUGUGUGUCGAAAGCGCUUCAGUGACGUGUACGAGCUACGCAGGCACAAAAAGACUGUUACGCAUUUGAAGCUGAUGAAGGAUGCUGCGACAAAGACUGUUCGUACCGUCAAUGGUCCUUAUGAGUGUUCCGUUUGCCGGUGCAGUUUUACAUCCAAGCGCGCGCUGGAACGACACAAGCACGAUGAGAAGCCGCGAGUGCUGCCCUGCGACCUCUGCGGACGAAAGUUUCAAACGUCGGUGGUGUGCGCGGCUCACAGACGGCGCCACUUUUGGCGCGGGCUGCCCCGGUGUCGCGCCUGCGGCGCCACUUUCGCCUCCGAGGUGCAUUUGUCGCGCCACAUUGGGAACCACAAGAGCGAAACGACAGAGGUGGUCAGGUAUUAGAUAGAUAGCCUGUGCUGUUGGUGGACGUCGACGAGUCAAUGAGUGGUAUUGCUUGGUUAUGUGCGUUUUGUGAGAUCAUCGCUUCAUGGGGAUGGGCGCUGUUUCGAGCACACUGAAAAGCUACACGCCAACGGGGAUUUCAUUCGUGUGACUCUCUGUGUGUUCAUAGUUUCGGUUGUUGAUCAAUUGUUUCAUGUGACAAUUUUUGAUGUGUUACUGUGUGGUACUCUGCUUAGCCUUGUAUGUGUGAUCGCUUUUGAAUAUGUUAGGGUGUCCUGGGUGCCCUGUAGGCAAUUUAAUCACCGG